rnacentral:lncRNA from 10 species
CUGGACACUAGAACACGCUUCCUGUCUUUCAUUACCCCGUGACCUUUCCUAUCAGCAGCCCGUGGCUGUGAAUUCUUUAUCCCUGGGAACUUGGCUGCCACAUGUGAUUCUGAUGGAAGAUGGAAUGAAGCCGUUGGCUGAGCCAGCAGGUGCAAGCUUCAAGGGAGUACGAAAAGAAGAGAUUAAAACAUCAACAGGCAUCACAGUAAUUCUAGCUUGUGGGAGGUGCUUCUGAGACUCCUCAUUUAAUUGGAAUGGAAUCUCAUUUAUUCCAAGCUUGCCUGCUCCCUUCCGUCUUCUGCCCUCUGCAUGCAGGUAAUUGGUCUUCAGCCACAACUUGCCCUAUUUGAAAGGAUCUGGGCCUCUUUGCCUAGAAUUUAACUUUUCAAAAAAUUUAAGCCUAAAAAUAUAAAAAUGGUUUUAAUGAAAGUGUCUCCAAAAAUCUCAUUAAUUAAAAAUACCACUCAUGUAUGUAGAACCUGCAAAUGCCAAUUUUCUCCCUCUCAGUCUGACUUCCUCCCUAUUUCUCUCUUUUGACCCUUACACAAUGUCAGCACUCAUAGGGGUCUAUAGAGGUAAGUGGUCAGGGUAGAUCAUUGAGGCCAGGGGAAGAGAGAAAGAAAUUCAGAGUGGGAAUCCUGGCCAAUCCCUUAUUUGCUAACUCUGUAUCCUAGUCAUGGAUUGACUCGCCCAAUUCCUGGCCCCAAGUAGCCUGGCUCACCAGAUCCCUGGAGUUUUAUAGCCUGGUAGAUGGAUUCAGAAAGUUACAAGGUUAUAACUCACUGUUCUGAAGUGGCUAUGAGAGCCAGAGAGGCCCAAAACCCAAAAGGACCUUACCUUUCUCGAACUGAGUAUUACACAGACCCUUUUGUAUUUUGGCACCAUGUGGUACUGUAUUCUAGGUCAAUUACUUUUAAGUCAAUAUUGUACAAUUCUGAUGCCAGAAAAGAAUUCUGUGCUUGGCACAUAGUCCCUAUGAUGACUUAAUAAAACAAGAAUUGAUGGAAUGAAUUAGAGCUGCCUAGAAAAGGCAAGGUAUUUGCCAGAUCUUAUUUUGGGGGUAAGUUUUUGAAUCAGUAGUACAAAAUAAAAUAAUAUAAAAAGGGAUUCAGAGAAAAAUCUUAUUCUCACCUGUGACCAUCUGUACUCACUUUCCCAGCCUCUGAACAAAUAAGCACUAUUACUGGUUUCUUAUGUACACUUCCAAAGUUUCUGCAUCUGUAUACUGUCAGGCCUCUGAGCCCAAGCUAAGCCAUCGUAUCCCCUGUGACCUGCACAUAUAUACCCAGAAGGCCUGAAGCAAGUGAAGAAUCACAAAAGAAGUGAAAAUGGCCGGUUCCUGCCUUAACUGAUGACAUUCCACCAUUGUGAUUUGUUUCUGCGCCACCUUAACUGAGCGAUUAAUCUUGUGAAAUUCCUUCUCCUGGCCCAGAAGCUCCCCCACUGAGCACCUUGUGACCCCCGCCCCUGCCUGCAAGAGAAAAACCCCCUUUGACUGUAAUUUUCCACUACCGACCCAAAUCCUAUAAAAUGGCCCCACCCCUAUCUCCCUUUGCUGACUCUCUUUUCGGACUCAGCCUGCCUGCACCCAGGUGAUUAAAAAGCUUUAUUGCUCACACAAAGCC